CUCCCGCCGGCGACCGGCGCACGGGUGAGUAACACGUAUGAAACCUGCCCGUAGCAGGGGGAUAAGCGGAAGAAAUUCCGUCUAAUACCGCGUAACAACCCAUGGAGGCAUCUCUGUGGGUUUAAAGGAAGCGAUUCCGGCUACGGAUGGUCAUGCGUCGCAUUAGCUUGUUGGCGGGGUAACGGCCCACCAAGGCGACGACGCGUAGGGGUUCUGAGAGGAAGGUCCCCCACACUGGUACUGAGACACGGACCAGACUCCUACGGAAGGCAGCAG
rnacentral:rRNA from 1 species